GUGUCCUUUGCAGCACAAAGUUUUUAAUUUUGAUGAUGGACAGUUCAUUUUCUUCCAUUGGUCAUUCUUUUGGUGUCUUAUCUAAUAAUAAAUAUAUCAUUUUAAAUGUAAGGUCAUGGAAAUUUUUCCGUUUUCUUCCAAAUACCUUUUUUUUGAGUGGGUACCAGGGAUUGGCCAUUAUGAAUGAGGCUGCCAUAAAUGUUUAAAUACAAGUUCUUUGGGGACGUAUGUUUUAAUUUCUCCUGGUUUUAUCCCCAGCCCUGUUGCCCUGUUUUGUAUUUUAUUUAGAGGCAGGGUCUCACUGAGUUGCUUAGCACCUCGCUUUUGUUGAGGCUGGCUUUGAACUAGCAAUCCUCCUGUCUCAGCCUCCAGAGCCAUUGGGUACAGGCGUGCAUCAAUGAGCCCAGCACAACUAGAUCUUUGAACCAUUUUUUGAGUCAAUUAUUAUUAUUAUUAUUUUGUGUGUGUGUGUGUGUGUGUGUGCGUAUGCACGCGCUUGCAUGCUGGAGAAUUCAGGUCACUUUACUGUUGAGCUAUAUCUCCAGCCCUUUUUAUUUUUUAUUUUAUUUUGAGACAAGUUCUCCCUAAAAGGCAGAGCCUGGCCUCAAACUUGCAAUCCUCCUGCCUCAGCCUCCCAAGUUGCUGUGAUUACCCACGUGUGCCAUUGCACCUGGCUCAUAAUUUUUUACAUAUCUUGUAGAACUUUGUUGCCUGAUAUUUUGUUGAGGAUUUCACAUCCAUAUUCAUAAACAAUAUUGGUCUGUAGUUUCCUUUCUUUCCCUUCUUCUAGGUAAAUGCUCUACUACUGAGCUACACCCCAGCCUGUAGUUUUCUUAUGAUAUCUGUCUGGUUUUGGCAUCUGGGUGAUGCCUCAUAGAAUGAGUUGGGAAGUGUCACCUCUUCAUCCAUUUUUUUUGGACAAGUUUGUGAAUAAUUGUCCUUAAUUCUUCUUUAAAUUAUUGUUAGAAUUCAGUGGUGAAGUCACCUGAGCCUGGGCUUUUCUUUGUGGGUAGUUUUUGUUGUUGCUGUUGUGUUUUUCUCAAAUAUUU
rnacentral:lncRNA from 1 species